rnacentral:rRNA from 1 species
CCUACGGGCGGCAGCAGUGGGGGAUAUUGGACAAUGGGGGGAACCCUGAUCCAGCGACGCCGCGUGAGUGAAGAAGUAUUUCGGUAUGUAAAGCUCUGUCAGCAGGGAAGAAAGAAAUGACGGUACCUGACCAAGAAGCCCCGGCUAACUACGUGCCAGCAGCCGCGGUAAUACGUAGGGGGCAAGCGUUAUCCGGAAUUACUGGGUGUAAAGGGAGCGUAGACGGUUAAGUAAGUCUGGAGUGAAAGGCCGGGGCCCAACCCCGGGACUGCUCUGGAAACUAUUGAACUUGAGUGCAGGGGAGGUAAGCGGAAUUCCUAGUGUAGCGGUGAAAUGCGUAGAUAUUAGGAGGAACACCAGUGGCGAAGGCGGCUUACUGGACUGUAACUGACGUUGAGGCUCGAAAGCGUGGGGAGCAAACAGGAUUAGAUACCCCUGUAGUC